AACCAGUGGUCGUUGAUGAAUUGCUCCAUGAUUUAACCACUUCCAAUAUAACCCACUUGCAACAAAUAAGAGGACAUGUGGGCGACAGUGGUAGACAGGGCGACAGUGGUACAGUGGUAGAUAAGUCGUUUAGUAAUCAGAAGGUUGCUAGUUCGAUUCCCUGUCGAAGCGUCCUUGAGCAAGACACUGAAUCCCUAAUUGCUCCUAAUGUGCAGUGUGCCAUCAGUGUAUAUGUAAAAUGUGUAUACAUUGUAAGUCGCACAUGUGUAAGUCGCUUUGGAUAAAAGCGUCUGCUAAAUGACUAAAUGUAAAUGUUCUCUGCAGGAAUCUCUUUUUCAGGAACUUCAGGUCUACAUGCAUGCCAACCAAACUGCUGCAACAACUGAUAUGUUCUCAUUGUUGUGAAGUGGCCCAUUUUACUCAUUUAACUCCAUUUAAAAGGCAGUAUUACAAUUUCGAGCUGAAAGUCUUUGCCAUUUUCACAUUAUUGUUAUCCCUACAGUAAUUUAAUCAUCAUGUACUCUAUGAGCUAGAAUAUCUUUGGUUGAUAUCUAUGGUUGGUUAAAAGGAUUAUUUCGAAAUGUUUCUUUUAAUGCUGACAGUGCAGGUCUGAAACAAUUAGUUACCAUGUUAGGCAAUAUCUGGAGCAUGAAAAAAAAACAGAGGAAGUCCAUGACCCUCCUCUGGUGUCCACCCCUAUUCCACCGGGUAUUUAACUGCCCAUGCCGUUCAGAGGUAAAAAAGAGCCUUUGCUACCUGCUGCAUCAGCGUUACUCACUCAGUCUGACACCAUGGUCCCUGCAGCACUGCUUCUGGUGCUGUGCACAUUGCCCUCCCUGGCUCAUGCUUAUUGCGUUAGAAGUCAGGAUUUACCAGAAAUGGUGCGUGCCUGCAGGGAUCGUGGACAGUUGCACGAGGUAGGGACCAAAUGGAGGACUAAGGACUGCAUGCGCUGCACCUGCUCUGCCACUGGGAUGAGCUGCUGCUCUG
rnacentral:lncRNA from 1 species